rnacentral:misc_RNA from 1 species
AACGCACGAGACCUGCGGACCUGCGGAAGGAUCAUUACCGAGUUUACAACUCCCAAACCCAAUGUGAACGUUACCAAACUGUUGCCUCGGCGGGAUCUCUGCCCCGGGUGCGUCGCAGCCCCGGACCAAGGCGCCCGCCGGAGGACCAACCUAAAACUCUUAUUGUAUACCCCCUCGCGGGUUUUUUUAUAAUCUGAGCCUUCUCGGCGCCUCUCGUAGGCGUUUCGAAAAUGAAUCAAA